AUGGAUGAAAGAAAAGAAAGAAGGAAGGGAGAGGAAAGCACCAUUGAUUAUAGUAUAGUGAGGACCCAUUGGGAAUCUAAUAAAGAUACUUUCCUGUUUCCUGGCCUAUGGUGUCUUGAACAUAGGGCUUAGACCUCCAGACAUGGUGACCUUCUGUGGUUGAGAAGCCUGC
rnacentral:lncRNA from 1 species